rnacentral:rRNA from 1 species
GUGUCAGCAGCCGCGGUAAGACAGAGGGUGCAAACGUUGUUCGGAAUCACUGGGCGUAAAGCGCGUGUAGGCGGCCGCGUAAGUCGGGCGUGAAAUCCCACAGCUCAACUGUGGAAGUGCACUCGAAACUGUGCGGCUAGAGUCCUGGAGAGGAAGGUGGAAUACUUGGUGUAGAGGUGAAAUUCGUAGAUAUCAAGUGGAACACCGGUGGCGAAGGCGGCCUUCUGGACAGUGACUGACGCUGAGACGCGAAAGCGUGGGGAGCAAACAGGAUUAGAAACCCUCGUAGUCC